GUAGACGUUAGCUCAGUGGUUAGAGCACAGGCCUCUGGCUCUCGGGCCUGCGAGUUCGAGUCCCGUCGUCUACU
rnacentral:tRNA from 1 species